UGGAGGGGAUAACUACUGGAAACGGUAGCUAAUACCGCAUAAUGUCUCAAGACCAAAGGGGGGGACCUUCGGGCCUCAUGCCAUCUGAUGUGCCCGGAUGGGAUUAGCUAGUAGGUGGGGUAACGGCUCACCUAGGCGACGAUCCCUAGCUGGUCUGAGAGGAUGACCAGCCACACUGGAACUGAGACACGGUCCAGACUCCUACGGGAGGCAGCAGUGGGGAAUAUUGCACAAUGGGCGCAAGCCUGAUGCAGCCAUGCCGCGUGUGUGAAGAAGGCCUUCGGGUUGUAAAGCACUUUCAGCGGGGAGGAAGGCGUUAAGGUUAAUAACCUUGGCGAUUGACGUUACCCGCAGAAGAAGCACCGGCUAACUCCGUGCCAGCAGCCGCGGUAAUACGGAGGGUGCAAGCGUUAAUCGGAAUUACUGGGCGUAUAGCGCACGCAGGCGGUCUGUCAGUCGGAUGUGAAUCCCCGGGCUCACCUGGGAACUGCAUUGAAA
rnacentral:rRNA from 1 species